rnacentral:rRNA from 1 species
GUGGGGAAUCUUAGACAAUGGGGGAAACCCUGAUCUAGCCAUGCCGCGUGAGCGAUGAAGGCCUUAGGGUUGUAAAGCUCUUUCAGCUGGGAAGAUAAUGACGGUACCAGCAGAAGAAGCCCCGGCUAACUCCGUGCCAGCAGCCGCGGUAAUACGGAGGGGGCUAGCGUUGUUCGGAAUUACUGGGCGUAAAGCGCGCGUAGGCGGACCAGAAAGUUGGAGGUGAAAUCCCAGGGCUCAACCUUGGAACUAACUUCAAAACUCCUGGUCUGGAGUUCGAGAGAGGUGAGUGGAAUUCCGAGUGUAGAGGUGAACUUCGUAGUUGUUCGGAGGAACACCAGUGGCGAAGGCGGCUCACUGGCUCGAUACUGACGCUGAGGUGCGAAAGCGUGGGGAGCAAACAGGAUUAGAUACCCGAGUAGUCC